UACGUAGGGUGCGAGCGUUGUCCGGAAUUAUUGGGCGUAAAGGGCUCGUAGGCGGUUCGUCACGUCGGGAGUGAAAACUCGGGGCUUAACCCCGAGCCUGCUUCCGAUACGGGCAGACUAGAGGUAGGCAGGGGAGAGCGGAACUCCUGGUGUAGCGGUGGAAUGCGCAGAUAUCAGGAAGAACACCGGUGGCGAAGGCGGCUCUCUGGGCCUUACCUGACGCUGAGGAGCGAAAGCGUGGGUAGCGAACAGG
rnacentral:rRNA from 1 species